CUUUCUUCUGCGCCAUCUUGUGGCAGUUGAGAGCAGGCCCAGGGCAGAAGGGAGGCAGGGGCAUUAAGAGCUCAGGCCUCCAGCUGAGGGACUGCAGAUGUUGGGAAGCCUCUGAUUAGGGCCCUGAACCAAGUUCCUUUUCGCAUCUGCAGACUCAUGGAGGCAACCACUCAAGGUCACUCUGAGAAGGGUUGAACGUGCUUUAUUAAAAGGACUGAGGAUCAUGUGUGUUGGUGUGUCCCGGAGUCUGCUCUAAGGCCCUGUGGCUGCCUGGUGCCCUGGGAAUGGUCCGGUCAUGGGCCUCAGCCCAGGAUGAGCAGCCAACAAUGCAAUCCCACGAAGAGUGUGCGGAAGGGAGAGGUUACUUCUCAAGAUGGAGCUGCCAAAUAGGGACACUUUGGAGAGUCUGGCCUGAGAACUUUUAGUUUCAAGAAUGUAUUGCUUUGGAAAAGACAGAAUAAAAGUCCAAGCACUGCCACUUA
rnacentral:lncRNA from 1 species